rnacentral:rRNA from 1 species
UACGUAGGGUGCAGGCGUUAAUCGGAAUUACUGGGCGUAAAGCGUGCGCAGGCGGUUUCUUAAGUCAGAUGUGAAAGCCCCGGGCUUAACCUGGGAACUGCGUUUGAAACUGGGAGACUCGAGUGUGGCAGAGGGGGGUGGAAUUCCACGUGUAGCGGUGAAAUGCGUAGAUAUCUGGAGGAAUACCGGUGGCGAAGGCGGCAUCCUGGACCGACAUUGACGCUGAUGAGCGAAAGCUAGGGGAGCAAACGGG